rnacentral:rRNA from 1 species
AGCAGCCGCGGUAAUUCCAGCUCCAAUAGCGUAUAUUAAAGUUGUUGCAGUUAAAAAGCUCGUAGUUGAAUUUCGGAAUCGACGGAUUGGUCGCGCCUUCGGUGUGUACUGGUUUUGCCGGUUUCUCCCUUCUGACGAACCACGAUGUCAUUAAUUUGGUGUCGUGGGAAAUCAGGACUGUUACUUUGAAAAAAUUAGAGUGUUUAAAGCAGGCAUUAGCUUGAAUACAUUAGCAUGGAAUAAUGAAAUAGGACGUUUGAUCUUAUUUUGUUGGUUUCUAGGAUCGACGUAAUGAUUAAUAGGGAUAGUUGGGGGCAUUAGUAUUCAAUUGUCAGAGGUGAAAUUCUUGGAUUUAUUGAAGACUAACUACUGCGAAAGCAUUUGCCAAGGAUGUUUUCAUUAAUCAAGAACGAAAGUUAGGGGAUCGAAGACGAUCAGAUACCGUCGUAGUCUUAACCAUAAACUAUGCCGACUAGGGAUCGGAUGAUGUUAAUUUUUAAUGACUCAUUCGGCGCCUUAC